rnacentral:rRNA from 1 species
UGGGGAAUAUUGCACAAUGGGCGCAAGCCUGAUGCAGCCAUGCCGCGUGUAUGAAGAAGGCCUUCGGGUUGUAAAGUACUUUCAGCGAGGAGGAAGGCGUUGUGGUUAAUAACCGCAACGAUUGACGUUACUCGCAGAAGAAGCACCGGCUAACUCCGUGCCAGCAGCCGCGGCAAUACGGAGGGUGCAAGCGUUAAUCGGAAUUACUGGGCGUAAAGCGCACGCAGGCGGUCUGUCAAGUCGGAUGUGAAAUCCCCGGGCUCAACCUGGGAACUGCAUCCGAAACUGGCAGGCUAGAGUCUUGUAGAGGGGGGUAGAAUUCCAGGUGUAGCGGUGAAAUGCGUAGAGAUCUGGAGGAAUACCGGUGGCGAAGGCGGCCCCCUGGACAAAGACUGACGCUCAGGUGCGAAAGCGUGGGGAGCAAACA